ACACAGCACUCCCACCCCUC
rnacentral:misc_RNA from 1 species